GACGAACUGUCCUAACGUUGUUCGGAAUCACUGGGCUUAAAGGGCGCGUAGGCGGUCGAUCAAGUCAGGGGUGAAAUCCUGCAGCUUAACUGUAGAAGUGCCUUUGAUACUGGUCGUCUCGAGGGAGGUAGGGGUGUGUGGAACUUCCAGUGGAGCGGUGAAAUGCGUUGAUAUUGGAAGGAACGCCGGAGGCGAAAGCGACGCACUGGACCUCUUCUGACGCUGAGGCGCGAAAGCUAGGGGAGCAAACGGGAUUAGAUACCCCGGUAGUCCUAGCCCUAAACGAUGGGUACUAGAUUGUAGACUGAUCAUGGGUUUACAGUCGAAGCAAAAGUGUUAAGUACCCCGCCUGGGGAGUAUGGUCGCAAGGCUGAA
rnacentral:rRNA from 1 species